ensembl:processed_transcript Gm20429 predicted gene 20429
CAGACUGCUAAUAAGUAUGAUGGAAUAUGGUCCCUAAUAUGGAAUAGAGUAGACAGGAGCCCAUGGGGCAACACAACCAGCUCAUCUUGUGGCAUCUGAUCAAGUCUCAUUUGUUCUGUUAAAGGCAGAAACAGUGAUUAAGGCUCUGAUGCUUCUUUCACCAUUUAGAAAGGUCUGUAAGAUGAUCCUGGGCCAGAAGACUGAAGACUGAUGCUCCAAAGUUUUGAGGAAUGAAAGACUGUCCAGAUUAGGAUGAUUUUAUGGAACAGAUGGUUCUACCUAUAUUCAAAGUGCAUCUUUCCGACUCAUUGGAAUCCCUUUAGAGAUACCUUCCCAGACAUGCCCAGAGGUGUGCAUUGAAGAUGAUUCCAAAUGGAGUCCAGUUAACACUGAAGAUUAUCCGUAGCAAUCAUGUAAUUCUCCCAUGAGCCAUGGUAUUAACUGACUCACUUUGCAUGUGUGAUAGUGAUGCAGGGCAUGAUCCUUCCUUAGUCCUGAGAUUUCACCAUGUUCAAGAUCCUUCUCAAUGAACUCUUAACAUCCUUGUUUCUCAGACUAUAAAUGAAGGGGUUCAGAGUGGGUGUUACCAGAGUAUACAUGACAGCAGCUACCACCUCCUGAGAGGAGUGAGAACUAGAUGGGGGCUUCAGGUAGGUAGCAAAGACUGUGCUGUAGAAAAGGAGGACUACAGAGAGGUGGGAACUACAUGUGGCCAGGGCUUUCCGUUUCCCCUGUGCUGAUGGAACCUUAGCCACAGCAUAAAAAAUACAACCAUAAGAACUUACAAUGCAGAGAAAUGCACUGAUUGCUAAAAGUCCAC